rnacentral:rRNA from 1 species
CAACUNGAGAGUUUGAUCCUGGCUCAGAGCGAACGCUGGCGGCAGGCUUAACACAUGCAAGUCGAACGGUAACAGGCNUCCAGGCGCUGAACGAGUGGCGGACGGGUGAGUUAACUGCGUAGGAAUCURCCUURUUGUGGGGGAUAACUMGGGGAAACCCNAGCUAAUACCGAUACGCUCCACGGUGGAAAGCGGGGGAUCUUCGGACCUCGCGCAAUAAGAUGAGCCUAUGUUGGAUUAGCUAGUUGGUAGGGUAACGGCCUACCAAGGCGACGAUCCAUAGCUGGUCUGAGAGGAUGAUCAGCNACAUUGGGACUGAGAGGAAUAUUGAACAAUGGGCGCAAAGCUGAUCCAGCCAUGCCGCGUGAGUGAUGAAGGGCUUAGGNUUGNAAAGGUCUUUCRUNAGGCAAGAAGGAAUACURCDGUUAAUACCGGCNGACUVCGAUUACCUAUACNAGAAGCACCGGCUAACUUCGUGCCAGCAGCNGCGGUNAUACGGAGNGUGCNAGCGUUNAUCGGAAUUACUGGGCGNNAAGCGUGCGUAGGCGGNNVAGGUCCACGCGAUGUAAGCCUNGACCUGGACCUCGGAACUGCCUUUGAUACUGGGUAUCUUGAGACCGGAAGAGACAGCGGACUCGAGUGUAGAGUCGAAUACGUAGAUAUCGCAAGAACACCAGUGGCGAAGCGCCUCUCUGGUCCAAGACUGACGCUGAGGUGCCNAAGCGUGGGGAGCAAACAGGAUUAGAUACCCUGGUAGUCCACGCCGUAAACGAUGAAUGCUAGCUGUUGGGCUUCUUGGACUUCAGUGGCGGAGCUAACGCUUUAAGUAGACCGCCUGGGGAGUACGGCGGCAAGGCNAAAACUNAAAUNAAUUGACGGGGGCASCCCCACAGCGGNUGGACCUUGUGUNNAAUUCGAUGNAACGCGAAGAACCUNACCUACCCUNGACAUCCANAGAAUCUNUUAGAGAUAGCGGAGUGCUUCGGGAGCUCUGAACAGGUGCUGCAUGGCUNUCGUCAGCUCGUGUUGUGAAAUGUUGGGUUAAGGGCACUCUACGAGACUGCCGGUGCAUACGCGGAGGCACAGGUCCCACGACGUCAAGUCAUAAUGGCCUUAUGGGUAGGGCUACAACGUGCUACAAUGGCCGUGACAGAGGGAAGGGACAUCGCGAGAGUAAGCUAAUCCCAAAAAGCGGUCUCAGUCCGGAUUGCAGUCUGCAACUCGACUGCGUGAAGUCGGAAUCGCUAGUAAUCGCGGAUCAGCAUGCCGCGGUNAAUACGUUC